UGGAACCUAGAGUAGUGAGCGAGCCCAGGUUCUCCUAGCAGCCCCCAAUGGAAUGGCACUGCCUGGACAGCGGGUCCAAUGGGGUUAGGAGUCUCAGAAGGGGAAUUCACACAGUGACCUGGCUGGAGGGCCAAGUCAUGAAAAGGAAGCUACAGCUGCUGGAGUGAGAGAAGGGCCACAAAGUGAGAGGACAGCAUAUUGAGAGACCACAAGUGGACGUGUUGGAUCUGGAAGAGAGCUAUUCCCCAGAGCAGUCGGGGGGAGGCACCCUAGCAUGCAGGAGAUAUCUGACCUGGUCACUGGUCCACCAACCAUGCAAAAAUAAAGAAGUCACUGGGAUUAAGACUGGGAACCGCCUCUCAGGAAGAAUUCCAGACUUGGACAUGUAUUACAUCAUUGAACCAGAG